CUCAAACUUAUAGCCUAUGGGUGGAGGAGACCCAUAGAUUUAAGAUUAGAGAAGGUAUGGUCGAGAAAUAAAAGGUCGGUGUACUGCCUACCGACUAUCACGGUCACGAAAACCGGAGAACUCCGCUUGGCUCUCCGGGACGAUGUGGACGAGCUGUGAGAAAUGCGUGGUACAUCGGAUUCCCUCUGAGUACAGUGCUGAGGAGUUAAUGCUCAUGUAAAGUCACAGGCAGCGAAGCGGUCGGAAGGCGGGGGAUCGUUGAGCCCGAUCACUCGUCCAGUCACCGCACACUUUCGUACGAUCCAAGACGCGAGACGGUGGAGAACGGUAGGCAGGGGAUCAUUUAGCCCACAGUUCUCUCUCUAGAAGGCAACGAAGCGGUCGGAAGGCGGGGGAUUGUUGAGCCCGAUCUCUCGUCCAGUCACCGCGCACUUUCGUACGAUCCAAGACUCGAUGGAGAUGGUGGAGCGAGGCCGACCCGGGGACGAAAACGGGGUGUGGAGAACUCCGCUUGGAUUUCUGGGACGAGGUGGACAUGGAUGUUCCAGCUUUCACAAGACGAUGGCUUCAUGGUAGUUGUUCUGUGGAUUUUUAAUGCCGUUAACGUAAAUUGCAAAUUUCUCAUGAGUCCAGUAAAGAUAACCUUGUAUAACGUGUUUCUAUGAUAAACUUAGAUGUAUUGUUGAUAGUGGGGUCUAGAGAGUUUACGGAUACAGUGACGGCGCCGGUUAAAGUACAUAUACUGUAAUUGGAUGCAGUCUGGAAAUUUAGAAUGUACAGAACGUGAAACUGAAUAAUCCUCCUCUCUUACAUGAUCGUGGGGACGCAGAGCAUAUUAUACAUGGAGGUAUUGUACAGUCAAUGCAAUUGAUGAGGACCACAACAAUGUUAAGGCGCCGAAUGAUCAAUACGAUGAUGAUUACCACGGUUAUAGGACACAGACAGGGGAGCUGUGACUUGGAUGGAUGUCAAGCGGCCGUUUAUGGUUCCAGGAACUCGACUGGGAAAUGGAACAUUAACAGGGAAAUUCUAGAUUGGCAAUAGCAGGUUUAUGUAUGUACUGCAUGUACUAUAUAUAUUUUCUAAAUUUUCAUGGGUCUGUCUAAUACACGUAGGUACAGUAAAGAACAUUAUGUUGACAAGUUUGAAACACAUUUUAAAAUACGGACCCCUUGAAAACAUUGACUUUUAGUUAGGCUUGGGGUGUAAAACUACUUGAGGGACCGAGUCCAUCUGUUAUGCCGAGACUAACAUGUCAUAACUUCAUCAAAGAUCACAACAAAUAUGUUUAUCUCUAUCGGGAGAAAACAUACCGACGGUCAGAUGGGAUGGACAGUUUCUUCAUAUAUACACAAAAUAAAAACCAUAACUUCAUCAACAAAGAUCACACCAAAUAUGUUUAUCUCUAUCGGGAGAAAACAUACCGACGGUCAGAUGGGACGGACAGUUUCUUCAUACAUUCACAAAAUAAACACCAUAACUUCAUCAACAAAGAUCACACCAAAUAUGUUUAUCUCUAUCGGGAGAAAGCACACCGACGGUCAGAUGGGACAGGCAGUUUCUUCAUACAUACACAAAAUAAACACCUUCUCCUGUCCGUACAGUUUCUUCAUACAUAGAUAUAGGCAGUUUGCUUCGUUUCUUUGGAACAUAACAUUUGGGGUUGUUUCGUCCUGCAGUUUAAACCGAUAUCCUCACUAAAAGUCUAUCAAAUCACUUCUCUAUGUAAAGGUGUUUCCAAGACUUGUUAGCUAAUGUUUUUAUACUGUAACAUUUUGAUUCAAAUAUUGAUGGGGUUCGUUUGCAAUUUGGAUUUAACUAUUGUUAUAUAUCGCCAAUGGUCAUCAAUUUAUCUAAAUAAGCUUGUUAUUGCCAAACUAGUAUUUUUCUAAUGAAGUUGUCUACAGAUAUCUAUUGUUUUUAUUUUUCAUUUAUAUUAUAUGCAUUAUUAUGUUUAAUUACAUUGUAAGGUCAGCAGUGAGUAAACACUUCCGAUAGAUUCUCAAUACUGAUCACUGAUGUCCGAAACGCCUACAAAGAUCAAAAUGUUUCAUAUGGGGUAACAUAAUACUUUAUAAGGACGUUAGGUCAACAUUCAAAAUUUUUCAUUGUCUAUACUUGGGACAUAAAACUUUAUGGAUUCUUCAUGUCAAAUUACAACUCUUUCGAAACUUUCGACCGAGCAACAGGAUUUUUUUGUUAAAAGAUGUUAUCUUUUCAUAUUUUUAUUGUUUUCGAGGGGAGGUUUUUUAUUAAGGUUUAUU